rnacentral:rRNA from 1 species
UACGUAGGGUGCGAGCGUUGUCCGGAAUUAUUGGGCGUAAAGCGCGUGUAGGCGGUGGUGCAUGUCGGGUGUGAAAGCCCUCAGCUUAACUGAGGAAGUGCGCCCGAAACUGCAUCGCUGGAGUGCCGGAGAGGAAGGCGGAAUUCCCGGUGUAGAGGUGAAAUUCGUAGAUAUCGGGAGGAACACCAGUGGCGAAGGCGGCCUUCUGGACGGACACUGACGCUGAGACGCGAAAGCGUGGGUAGCAAACAGG